GACGAACGCUGGCGGCGUGCCUAACACAUGCAAGUAGGACGCAGUUGCGAACGGGAGAGUAACGCGUAGGUAACUACCUAUUAGAGGGGGAUAACUAUUGGAAACGAUAGCUAAUACCGCAUACUAGUAGAUGGACCUGCGUUGUAUUAGCUAGUAGGUAGGGUAAUGGCCUACCUAGUCAACGAUACAUAGCCGGGCUGGGAGUGUGAUCGGCCACGCUGGGGCUGGGUCACGGCCCAGACUCCUACGGGAGGCAACCAUAGGGAAUCUUCGGCAAUGGGGGGAACCCUUACCGAGCAACGCCGCGUGGGUGAAGAAGGUUUUCGGAUCGUGAAGCUCUGUUGUUAAGGGAGCGGUACUUAACCAGAAAGGACCGGCUAACUACGUGCCAGCAGCCGCGGUAAUUC
rnacentral:rRNA from 1 species